rnacentral:rRNA from 1 species
UACGUAGGCAGCAAGCGUUGUUCGGAGUUACUGGGCGUAAAGGGUGCGUAGGCGGCGCGACAAGUUGGGUGUGAAAUCCCUCGGCUCAACCGAGGAACUGCGCCCAAAACUGUCGUGCUCGAGGGAGACAGAGGUGAGCGGAACUUAGGGUGGAGCGGUGAAAUGCGUUGAUAUCCUAAGGAACACCGGUGGCGAAAGCGGCUCACUGGGUCUCUUCUGACGCUGAGGCACGAAAGCUAGGGUAGCGAACGGG